rnacentral:misc_RNA from 1 species
GAAAUGCGAUAAGUAAUGUGAAUUGCAGAAUUCAGUGAAUCAUCGAAUCUUUGAACGCACCUUGCACUCCUUGGUAUUCCUUGGAGCAUGCCUGUUUGAGUAUCAUGAAAUCUUCAAAGUAAAUCUUUUGUUAACUCAAUUGGUUUCUACUUUGGUAUUGGAGGUCUUUGCAGCUUCACACCUGCUCCUCUUUGUUCAUUAGCUGGAUCUCAGUGUUAUGCUUGGUUCCACUCGGCGUGAUAAGUUAUCUAUCGCUGAGGACACUGUAAAAGGUGGCCAAGGUAAAUGCAGAUGAACCGCUUCUAAUAGUCCAUUGACUUGGACAAUACUUUUAUGAUCUGAUCUCAAAUCAGGUAGGACUACCCGCUGAACUUCAGC